UACGUAGGGUGCAAGCGUUAAUCGGAAUUACUGGGCGUAAAGCGUGCGCAGGCGGUUUUGUAAGACAGGCGUGAAAUCCCCGGGCUCAACCUGGGAACUGCAUUUGUGACUGCAAGGCUAGAGUACGGCAGAGGGGGAUGGAAUUCCGCGUGUAGCAGUGAAAUGCGUAGAUAUGCGGAGGAACACCAAUGGCGAAGGCAAUCCCCUGGGCCUGUACUGGCGCUCAUGCACGAAAGCGUGGGGAGCAAACAGG
rnacentral:rRNA from 1 species